AUUAGUGGCGACGGGUGAGUACACGUGGGCAAUCUGCCCUUCACUCUGGGACAAGCCCUGGAAACGGGGUCUAAUACCGGAUACGAGUCUGGGAGGCAUCUCCUGGACUGGAAAGCUCCGGCGGUGAAGGAUGAGCCCGCGGCCUAUCAGCUUGUUGGUGGGGUAAUGGCCUACCAAGGCGACGACGGGUAGCCGGCCUGAGAGGGCGACCGGCCACACUGGGACUGAGACACGGCCCAGACUCCUACGGGAGGCAGCAGUGGGGAAUAUUGCACAAUGGGCGAAAGCCUGAUGCAGCGACGCCGCGUGAGGGAUGACGGCCUUCGGGUUGUAAACCUCUUUCAGCAGGGAAGAAGCGAAAGUGACGGUACCUGCAGAAGAAGCGCCGGCUAACUACGUGCCAGCAGCCGCGGUAAUACGUAGGGCGCAAGCGUUGUCCGGAAUUAUUGGGCGUAAAGAGCUCGUAGGCGGCUUGUCACGUCGGGUGUGAAAGCCCGGGGCUUAACCCCGGGUCUGCAUCCGAUACGGGCAGGCUAGAGUGUGGUAGGGGAGAUCGGAAUUCCUGGUGUAGCGGUGAAAUGCGCAGAUAUCAGGAGGAACACCGGUGGCGAAGGCGGAUCUCUGGGCCAUUACUGACGCUGAGGAGCGAAAGCGUGGGGAGCGAACAGGAUUAGAUACCCUGGUAGUCCACGCCGUAAACGUUGGGAACUAGGUGUUGGCGACAUUCCACGUCGUCGGUGCCGCAGCUAACGCAUUAAGUUCCCCGCCUGGGGGAGUACGGCGCAAGCUAAACUCAAAGGAAUUGACGGGGGCCCGCACAGCAGCGGAGCAUGUG
rnacentral:rRNA from 1 species